rnacentral:lncRNA from 10 species
CGCACACGGGGGUUGGCGCGGAAGACAGGACCCUCAGCCUCGAGGGAGCCCCUAGGUGACCAGGCAAAAUGGCAGUUCCUUCCAGCUGGUCCUCAGAUGGGCACAUCUAUUAGUGCCUCUGCUCUUGUAAGAAGUUAGCUGCAGAACCCACAUGUGAAUCCUUGUAGGACUCUGGAGAAGAUCAAAUGGGAGCUUAGAUGUGGAAGCUCUUUGGAAACCAAGAAACACUCUGAAAAUGAAAAGGGUAUCUUUUUUUCCUUUUCUCCCUUUACCAUAAAUUUCAUGAUGGCACGAACAGUUUGUGGACUUGCGCUGGCCCUUGGACCACACUUCGAGUGACAUUGUUAUAGAUGACACGGUCUCUUAUAGGAAAAUGCACAGUCUUUCUUAGAUUCUCUACCUCCCUCUUCCAUCUCAUUCCCAACAUAGAUCUGGGUACAUGAGUG